UGAGGAUGUUCCCAGAGAUGGAAGAUGUGACAAGUUCCCGCAUCACAUGAGCAUCAGAGAAAAGUUCCCCUGACAAGUCACGUGCAGAGAUGGGAACCGCUGAUUAAGGAGAGGAUUAAUUUUAUCUUCCAAGAAUUUCUGUCAGGAAAAUACUCUCAGGCACUGGAGAUACAGCAGUAAACAAAGCAAACAAAAAUCUCUGCCCUCAUGGAGCUUACACUCUAAAGAGAAGAGGUGGACACUAAAGAUGCAUAUGCAUACAGGACUUCCCUGCUGGUCCACUGGUUAGGAAUCUGCCUACCAAUGCAGGGGCCAUGGAAUUUGAUCCCUGGUCCAAGGAGAUCUCACAUGCCACGGGCAACUGAGCCCAUGUGCCACAACUACUGAGGCCACGAGCUGCAACUGGAGUAGCCCAUGCCCAGCAACAAGACCCGUGAUGCCAAAAAUAUAAAUAAAUUAAUUGCUGACUUUUUGCU